CCUACGGGAGGCAGCAGUGAGGAAUAUUGGUCAAUGGACGAGAGUCUGAACCAGCCAAGCCGCGUGAAGGAUGAAUGCCCUAUGGGUUGUAAACUUCUUUUAUAAAGGAAUAAAACGAGGCACGUGUGCCUUUUUGCAUGUACUUUAUGAAUAAGGAUCGGCUCACUCCGUGCCAGCAGCCGCGGUAAUACGGAGGAUCCGAACGUUAUCCGGAUUUAUUGGGGUUAAAGGGAGCGUAGAUGGGUUGUUAAAGCAGUUGUGAAAGUUUUCGGCUCAACCGUAAAAGUGCAAUUGAUACUGGCAGCCUUGAGUACAGUUGAGGUAGGCGGAAUGCGUGGUGUAGCGGGGAAAUACUUAGAUAUCACGGAGAACUCCGAAUGCGAGGGCAGCUUACUAAACUGCCACUGACAUUGAGGCUCGAAAGUGUGGGUAUCAAACAGGAUUAGAUACCCCAGUAGUC
rnacentral:rRNA from 1 species